rnacentral:rRNA from 1 species
CGUGGGGAACCUGCCCCAUAGUCUGGGAUACCACUUGGAAACAGGUGCUAAUACCGGAUAAGAAAGCAGAUCGCAUGAUCAGCUUUUAAAAGGCGGCGUAAGCUGUCGCUAUGGGAUGGCCCCGCGGUGCAUUAGCUAGUUGGUAAGGUAAAGGCUUACCAAGGCGAUGAUGCAUAGCCGAGUUGAGAGACUGAUCGGCCACAUUGGGACUGAGACACGGCCCAAACUCCUACGGGAGGCAGCAGAU